GCGGGGCGAUCAGCGCGAGGUAUACGGCUAUGUUCCCACCGGUUGUUAAGUCCGAAAUUAUUAUUGUUAUGGAUUUUGCGAUUACUUUCAAUGUUUGAUCGGAUAUUACAUCGAUUGCCGCAUCAGUUUUCGUUCCGCCAUUAUCAACGCAUAUUACAACACGUGUGAUAACAAUCUUAACUUUCUGCAACUAGAUGGAUGUAGUCAAACAUUUAUGAAGUGAAGUUUAAAUGAAGUCACCGAUGAUGUCAGCCCUCGUGAUAGGUGCGUCACGAGGAAUCGGGCGGCAGAUCGCUCUGACGCUCGCGCGGAACGGAUAUGGCGUCACGGUAGCGGCGAAGACGGUGGAAUCGACGGAGCGACUUCCGGGCUCCAUACACACCGUGGUCGACGAGAUCCAAAGAGACGGUGGCGUGGCGUUUCCGGUGCAGUGUGACUGUAGACAAGAAUCGGAUGUGAGGAACGCUGUGCGUGUCACCCAUGAAAGAUUCGGCCGCCUUGACGCCGUUAUCUACAACGCCGGGGCCAUCACGUGGCAACCAGUGUUAGAAACGCCGUUGAAGCGUCUCGACCUUAUGCUUGACGUCAACGUAAGGGGCGCUUACGUCACCGUGCAGGAGUCCGUGCCCGUGAUGCUCCAGCAGAAGUUCGGGCGCCUCGUUCUUGUAGCGCCGCCGAUUUACAACAGGUUUUUCAAGGGCAAGACGCCGUACAGCAUCACCAAGGUCGGUAUGACUGUGCUCGCGAUGGGCCUGGCCAAUGAGCUGCGGGACACAGGAGUGUCAAUAUGCACGUUAUGGCCGGCCACAGUAAUCCAAUCACAUGUGACUGACGUCAUGCACGUUCCACGUUCGCACAUGCGCACUCCAGACAUCUUUGCAGACGCCGUGUGUCGCAUUGUACAGGAACCUACCGACAAGUUAAAUGGCAAAGUGCUUUUGGACGAAGAUUAUCUGCGUAGCGAGGGUGUGACAGACUUUACUCGCUACCGCUGUGACCCGGAUGUAGAACCACCGCGCAUGAUGCCUCGCGCACUUCCGGAUCUCACGGUGCAAGAAGAACACGAGCAGUUGAACAUUUUGAACAAGGACAGCAAGUUGUGAGAAACCGCUUUGUUCAGUAAUCGAGCAGUUUCAACAAUCUAUUUUUCUUCGCCCUUCUGUUUGUGAAGGCUUUUUUCAAUGAUGGAAUGCUUGGAUUAUGCUACUAUGUGAUAAUAUUUUAAAGACUUUAAACACUAAAAAUCAACAAAUAUUUCGAACGAUAUUUUUUUUUAUUUGAACACAUACACAAUUAUAUAUUGCUAUAUCAAUAGCCAACAUUUAAACGCUAGAUGUGGUCUGGUAACAUAGAUUUAACGCGAUACAAAAUGCUCGUUUUUAUUUUUGUGUCAUAUUUUAUUCCACAUGUGGUUUGCGUGUGGCUAUGAUAUUAAUUAGUGAAAUUAUCAUUUUGAUUGAUAAAUAAUCACAUUAUAACGAAUAAUCAACUUUUCUGGAAAAAAUAUUUCACUAUCAAAUAUAUAUAUUACAAGGUAUCCAACUCAAAAUCAACCGAAAACGGGGUGCAUCGCUUUGAACAGCCAUAACUUCAUCAAUUGUGCAGCGAUUAUCACGAUCUCGGUCUUAUUGAAUGAAAUCUUCACGGAGUAAAGGGCAUUUUCCCUGCAAAGUUCACGGACCUCGAUACCUUAAUUCAAUAAAACGUAUGAAAAACAUUCUUACCGUGCUUUCUGUUGCAUUAUGCAUCAAAACAAACUGUCCAGCGCCGUUUGAAACCUUUGUUUACAGACACUUCAACUAACCGACAUUUUAAACACACAAGUGAUUUCAUUGGUCCAAUGCGAAAGUGUGUCUUAACAACUGAAGAUUUCAUUAAUUCUGUCUGAUCGGUGUCAAGUAAGUUACGCGAGUUGUGUAUUGUGUUAUUUCUUAAAAUUUGACCCAGCAUUUGUAGAAAUAUAACAAGAUUAUACAUUUGUAGAAAGGAAAAUCAUUUCUUCGUUGAAUAAGACCAAGAUCGUGAAAAUCGCUGCACAAUUGAUGAAGUUAUGGCUGUUCAAAGCGAUGCACCCCGUUUUCGGGUGAUAUUGAGUUGAAUACCUUGUUAUAUAUAUAUAUUUGAUAGUGAUUUUUUUUUCUGAAAAGUUGAUUGUUCGUUAAAAUAUGAUUAUUUAUCAUUCAAAAUGAUGUUUUUACUAAUGAAUAUCAUAUCCACACGCUAACCACCUGUGUUAUAUUUCAUGUAAAUAUCCGGCUACGUUAUCCGAACAUAUAUACGGGCGAACGCAAGUUUGGCUUCGGGCAGCUUCGGAAGCACGAUGCAGUUCUCAUGUCCGUCGCUGCCCGAAGCCAGUCUCGCGUUCGCUCGUAAAUAUUCGAAUAUCGUGAAAUUCACAUGGAAUAUAUUGUAGCACAAAAAACGAGCAUUUUGUAUCUCGUUAAAUCUAUGUUACAGGACCACAUCUAUCGUUAAAUUUUGUCUAUUUCUAUAAGGAACACUAUUUUUUAUGCGAAAUAUUUGUUUAUUUUGAGUAUUUUUAUUACUUUAACAUUGACAUAUAAACUGAUAAUUUUCCAUCUCUAUCAUUGGUGGACAUGCCGCUACACUGGUCCAUCGUGCAUCCCUGAUAGCGAUUGAAAAAAAUAAAUAUUUGUGUUUGCAUUGUUAUGAUUAUUAUGAUUGGUAUCAUGUUUGCACGGUUUUAUGUUAUAAAUGUCAAAUGAAUAUAAACCUUAAGAGAUCACUUGGUCAUGAGGUUCGUAAUGGUAUAUGGCUGGAGUAAAUUUGUUUAUGAUCAUAUGCCAAUGAUUGGAAAUAAAUUCAUUCACAAAGAAUCGUACCGCAGGUUAAAUGGCAAAGUGCUUUUGGACGAAGAUUAUCUGCGUAGCGAGGGUAUGACAGACUUUACUCGCUACCGCUGUGACCCGGAUGUAGAACCACCGCGCAUGAUGCCUCGCGCACUUCCGGAUCUCACGGUGCAAGAAGAACACGAGC